UAGCCUAGUAGUUAAGGCUAUGGAUCGCCAAUCCGGAGACGGCGGGUUCGAUUCCCGU
rfam:Aedes albopictus isolate Foshan contig20067, whole genome shotgun sequence.